rnacentral:rRNA from 1 species
AAACUCCGCAAUAUGUGAAAACAUGACGGGGUCAUCCCGAGUGCCACCUGCUGAAGGUGGCUUUUGCCUAGUGUAAUGAUCUGAGUGAAUAAGGGGAGGGCAAGUCUGGUGUCAGCCGCCGCGGUAAUACCAGCUCCUCGAGUGGUUGGGACGAUUAUUGGGUCUAAAGCGUCCGUAGCCGGCCGGAAAAGUUCUCCGUUAAACCCAACGAUCCAAUCGUUGGACUGCGGGGAAUACUACUCGGCUUGGGGGCGGGGGAAGUCGGCGGUAGUCCAGGGGUAGGGGCGAAAUCCUAUAAUCCUUGGAGGACCACCAGUGGCGAAGGCGGCCGACCAAAACGCGCCCGACGGUGAGGGACGAAAGCUGGGGGAGCGAACGGG